CCUCCUUGUCUUUUCCCAUCAACACACUCCUAGGACACCGAAGAUGGCACUGCCAGCCAAGAUGUGUGGCAUAGGUGCUCUUGUUUUCCCAUGGUUUUCUAUUUCUAAACAUUGUUCCAUUCACCUUUAUUAUAGACACUGACUCAUGGAAUAGUUACAGGAACGUGUCCAUAGUCUCUCAGAACUAGGAACAGAGCACAGAAAUCUCUGUUCUUGACUGUUUGUACUGACCCCUGGAAAUUCUAUGUGUUUCAGUGGGACACAGACCAGGGCAUCCUUUUCCCUGAUCCUGUUGAGGAUGUGGAAGGAGUGACAGGAAGACUGUGGUCAGGAGUCUGGAUUCCAGUCCUGCUUUUAUCACCAACUACAUAAUAUAUAUGCUCUUUUGUGUCUGGCUUCUUUCACUCAGCCUAACCACAUUCUUUUUGUAAUGUGCCUGUACCAUCCUCCCAUCAAGAGUAGAAUCUGUUUUCCAGCUCCUUGAAUCCAGAAUGGCCCUCUGACUUGCUUUGACCAACAGAAUACAAUGAAAGUAAUGCUGUGUGAUUACUUCUACCCCUUGGUAAACCACUGCCAUGUAAAAAUGCCUGAGGUAGACUACUGAAUUACUGAAGACCAUGUGGAGUGAGAGGGAGGUACAUGGAGGAGGACCAAGUUCCAGACUUGUGGAUUAGGCCAACUUGGAUCCUCCAGCCCCUUAAGAUACCCCUAAUCAAGACCACGUGGAGCAGAAAAGAGCCAUCCUCCCUGACCCCCGCCUGUAUUCCUAACCCAAAGAAUUAUCCAGUGUUCUGGCAUUUGAAUUACAGCAUGUUCUAGAGAAAAAUAGAGUGUGGGAGCCAAGAACCCUCAUUUUAUACCUAAUGAGCUGUAAGGUUCUGGGCAAGUUUGAAAGCUUCCUACACCUGACUUUCUUCAUGUAAUCUCAUGAGCUGGUGGAGAGAGCAUAAACUGCAAAAACAGAUGAGAAAGUCAGUCAAAAGCAAAGUACUCUUUAUUUCCACAACUCGGACAAGUUUUCUGCAAUGAUAUUUGCGUGCCCUCCGUGUGUCAAGUUCUCUGUCACAGGCUUGAACAUGCAAGUGUUGGCAUGAAUGAAAUAUAGGAUGACUCAUCCAAUGAGAAUUUGAAUGCUGGCGUAAAACCAUAGAGAAAAUCCAGGUUCAAUAAAAAGGCUAAUAAUUCACAGAAAUAUCCUGGGAUCAAAGAGAAGACCCUGUGGCCUCAUUGGACAUUAGUAGGUGCCUUGGAAGAAGCAGAGGCAGGAGACACAAAGGACUUCAAGUGAUUGGAACAAGAACUGUAGAAGACAUACCUAAGCACAGGAGAGGGGAAAGAGAGCGUUCAAUUGCUUUUGAAAUGAGUAUUUAAAAACCAGCCUCACUCAGGGUGGCCCCUUGCAGUCCUCUGCUGAGUCAACUCUCUGCUUGGCAGCCUCUUGUCCAUAGCUGACUCAGGGCAGAAAGGUGAUUGAUUGCCUUAAGAGCCUUCCCCUGACCUCUCCACUCGGCUCUCCUUCCUCCACCCCACCAUUCUUCCAGAGCCCAGCUCAGAUCCACAGGUUUCUCCAAAAUGCCUUUCUUCCAUUUGCAGAUAACAAAAACCAGUUGGAAAGAAUAUAGGUAAAAGAGUAAAUUUACUGGAGGGAAGCGUCUUACAAGGAAGAGUUGAACAACUUAACCUCCCUCAGGGAGAAGUAGCCCAGGGCAGUUCCCAGGACCUCAGAGGCUGAAAAUCACAAGUGCCUCCAAAGGGUUCGCUGCCAUUAAUGAUUUAGCUACCAACUCCCAACCACUGUCUCUCUGCGCAAAUCUAAAAUUCCUGGGAGAAUCUGAUUGGCACAUAUACACAUGCACUCACACACACACACACACACACACACACACACACGCACAGUAUGUAUUCAAGCUCAAGCUGUUAAAUAAACUCAGAAAAUC
rnacentral:lncRNA from 10 species